rnacentral:rRNA from 1 species
UACGUAGGGGGCAAGCGUUGUCCGGAUUUAUUGGGCGUAAAGAGCGUGUAGGCGGCCAAGCAGGUCCGCUGUGAAAACUCGAGGCUCAACCUCGAGACGUCGGUGGAAACCGUUUGGCUAGAGUCCGGAAGAGGUGAGUGGAACUGCGAGUGUAGAGGUGAAAUUCGUAGAUAUUCGCAAGAACACCAGUGGCGAAGGCGGCUCACUGGCCCGGUACUGACGCUGAGGUGCGAAAGCGUGGGGAGCAAACAGG